GCUGGACCCGGCUGGGAUCUUUGGACACCUGCAGAGGGAUCGUCACCGUGCCACAGGGCUUGUUGUUUAUCUGAGGGCAGGAAACAGAAGCCAUAAUCUGCCAGGUUUUCCAGACUCUGCCCAUCAGCUGGACCCGUGUGCUUUUCCAGUGUGUUGAAAGCUUAUGCACGUACGUGUGUCAACAACAAUAAAGGCUACCCGGCCAAGUUUCCACAUGAGGCACAAAAGCAGCGAGGGGUUCGGAACGUCACCGAGUUGUCGAGCUCCUCUUAGCUUUGUCACAAGCUGCCAAAGUCGAGACUGCCAACGCAGAACCCCUGCAAGUGCAUCAGCUGGAACACAAACAAGAGGACAGAAAGAAUAUUCUGACACUUCAUGUAGCAGCCAGGCUCACUCUUGACGUUCCAGAGGAUAUCUUGCUCGGGAGGAGCAGCGUAAAGGAUGUAGAGACGGACGGUGUCCACACCGUAC